UCAAAGGAAGGUGUGAGGUUGGUCGGUGGUGUCCAUCUUCUCUCUUUCCUUUACUCAUGAGGAAGAAGUCAAGAAGCAGCAUCAGCGUCACGGGAUAAUAAUAAUUAUUGGUAUCAUUAACAGCGCCCUGACCGAAACUAGGCCAGGGGGUCCACGGAAAACCACCCCAGCUGAGGAUGACGCCAUUAUCAGGGCGGCUCGAGAGCAACCCUUAACCAACGCCGAGGCCAUUCAUGAAGACCUUGGAUUAGAAGUGUCAUCGAUGACAGUACGACGCAGACUCCACGCUGCUGGGAUUCAUCACAGAACUCCAGCGACGAAGGAGCUCUUGACGGAGCGACAUAAGGCGGGAAAGCUUGAUUUUGCCCAACGUCAUGCUGAUAAGGGUUUGGACUUUUGGGGCAGGGUCAUCUUUACUAACGAGAAGUGCUGCUCGUCCACAUCGCAUGGGAAGCUGCAUUGUUGGCGAACAAAUAGAACUCGAUAUGAACCCCGUAACAUCGUUGAGGUGGUUCGAUCUGGCCAUGUCACCUACAACGUAUGGGGCUGGGUGUGUCUGCAUGGUAUGGGUGAUGUGUUCUGUAUCGAGGGACGAUUUACAGCAGCUAAGUAUGUUGAGCUGCUGCAAACCACCUCCUUGCCUUCGUUACGAGAAAGGAAUUUUCCCUUCCCACCAGGGCCCAUCCAGUUCACGCUGCUCACGUUGUUCAAGCGUGGUUUGGAGACAGGAUAACCUGCUUCUUCUUGAAUGGCCGAGCAAAGGAGCAGAUAUGAAUGUGAUUGAACACGUGUGGGCCCAGAUGGUGAACACAUGGAAAAUGGAACAUGAGAGAACAACACAGCAACUCAUGGCUCACAUCAACUCUGUGGAAAAUUUGUAGACGGAGACCGCAGCAAAUUUUCAACUUUGUUCAUUCGAUGCCCGACAGAUUGAGGGAAGUGACUGAGAGAGAGGGUGGAUGGUCAAGGUAUUCGAUUGUAUAAUAUAAAUGUUAUAUAUUUUGUAAUAGGACCUAAAAUGUUCUAAUUUUGUUCUCACUAGUUAU